UCAUGUCUCCUUGACCAGCAUCAGGGCGCAUGCUCCCUCCUGAUGGACAAGAGGAUGAGAUUGCUGCCACUUCUUCGGGCUAAGAAGGAUUCCUACGCCAGGUGCACAGGAGCCCUGGCCGGCCGGCCUGCCUUGUAGGAACCCCAUGUGGCCGGCCAGAUUCGGGAGUGGGGGAGAGUCCUAGAACUCACGACUGCCCCUCCUACAAGUGUGGGUGAGGCAGACCCUCAAAGAAGAAAGGAGGGAGGAAGAAGAAGGAGACCAUGCUGUCUGGAAGCACAGACCAGAAGGUGGAGCGUGGGGUUUGAUCGUGUGUGCAUUAGAGCUGUAACUCCGUGAAAUGUCAUGCUCCUUCUCCCGUUCUCUGCUGUCUUCUUACGGCACCGUUGUGCAGGACCUCAAGAGGACAAAUUCAUCCUGGGACCAUUUCUCAUUCUCUGCCAGGUGGCUCUGGUGGCUAAAGUCUUCUGGGAACCCCCGAGCCCCUAGCACCCUGAGCCCACAUGGGAUCUGUCAGGGAAGAAGCCACUCCGGGCCAGGAGCUUCUUUCUCCAUGUGCCAUCUUAACGGGAUCGCUAGUUUCCCUUCAGAGAUCUGUUUUCAACCCUUGUCUUCCUUUAAUUAUAACAACACAGCAUUUUGGAAGACAGAACAAAGGGAAAAUAUAUCUCCUUGAAUAAACUUA